GACGAACCGUGCGAGCGUUGUUCGGAAUCACUGGGCUUAAAGGGCGCGUAGGCGGGUGUGCAAGUCUGUGGUGAAAGCCUCCAGCUUAACUGGAGAAGUGCCAUGGAUACUGCACAUCUUGAGGAGGGUAGGGGCAUCUGGAACGGUCGGUGGAGCGGUGAAAUGCGUUGAUAUCGACCGGAACUCCGGUGGCGAAGGCGAGGUGCUGGACCCUUUCUGACGCUGAGGCGCGAAAGCCAGGGGAGCGAACAGG
rnacentral:rRNA from 1 species